GACGAACCUUGCUACCGUUAUCCGGAUUUAUUGGGUUUAAAGGGUGCGUAGGCGGUUUAUUAAGUCAGGGGUGAAAGACGGCAGCUUAACUGUCGCAGUGCCUUUGAUACUGAUGAACUUGAAUGUACUAGAAGUAGGCGGAAUGUGACAAGUAGCGGUGAAAUGCAUAGAUAUGUCACAGAACACCGAUUGCGAAGGCAGCUUACUAUGGUAUUAUUGACGCUGAGGCACGAAAGCGUGGGGAUCAAACAGG
rnacentral:rRNA from 1 species